UUGACUGCUAUAAGCGCAACUGUUGUGAUUGUUUUUGGAUGCUAGAGGAUGUGUGGUGUCCCUUCUAAAUAAACUAUUGAAAACAUUUAGCAUUUUCUUGGUUUACCUGUGUGAUGACUUCUCAUACAACAUUUAAUUAGGAAAAUCUUUAUUCACCUCAGUUUAUUGUAUGGUGACCAAAAUACUGUUGUCUGCUAGAUCUGCAACAUUACUAGGCCAGCAGCAAGUUUCAAGAUUUUAAGUUUCAGGAAUUUUAACCUGUGAGUGGAGCACCAGUUAAACAUAAUGAGAUAUACAAAUUAUCUUGCAAC
rnacentral:lncRNA from 1 species